GACGAACGCUGGCGGCGUGCUUAACACAUGCAAGUCGAACGGAAAGGCCCUGCUUUUGUGGGGUGCUCGAGUGGCGAACGGGUGAGUAACACGUGAGUAACCUGCCCUUGACUUUGGGAUAACUUCAGGAAACUGGGGCUAAUACCGGAUAGGAGCUCCUGCUGCAUGGUGGGGGUUGGAAAGUUUCGGCGGUUGGGGAUGGACUCGCGGCUUAUCAGCUUGUUGGUGGGGUAGUGGCUUACCAAGGCUUUGACGGGUAGCCGGCCUGAGAGGGUGACCGGCCACAUUGGGACUGAGAUACGGCCCAGACUCCUACGGGAGGCAGCAGUGGGGAAUAUUGAACAAUGGGCGGAAGCCUGAUGCAGCAACGCCGCGUGCGGGAUGACGGCCUUCGGGUUGUAAACCGCUUUCGCCUGUGACGAAGCGUGAGUGACGGUAAUGGGUAAAGAAGUACCGGCUAACUACGUG
rnacentral:rRNA from 1 species